UACGAAGGGGGCUAGCGUUGUUCGGAUUUACUGGGCGUAAAGCGCACGUAGGCGGACUUUUAAGUCAGGGGUGAAAUCCCGGGGCUCAACCCCGGAACUGCCUUCAAAACUAUUGGUCUGGAGUUCGAGAGAGGUGAGUGGAAUUCCGAGUGUAGAGGUGAAAUUCGUAGAUAUUCGGAGGAACACCAGUGGCGAAGGCGGCUCACUGGCUCGAUACUGACGCUGAGGUGCGAAAGCGUGGGGAGCAAACAGG
rnacentral:rRNA from 1 species